rnacentral:lncRNA from 1 species
CCACUUUUCCUUUUUUAUUUUUUUGGUUUUUUGAGACAGGGUCUCACUAUGUACUGAGACUGACCUGGCAUUCACUGUGUAGCCCAGGCUGGUCUCAAUUCACAGCGAUCCAUCCUCCUGCCUCAGCCUCCCGAGUGCUGGGAUUACAGGCAUGCGCCACCACACCCGGCCAUAAACCUCUUUUCUUUAUGAAUCACCCAAUCUCAGGCGUUCUGUUAUAGCAACAGAAGAUGGACUAAGGCAUCCCUUUAUCCUCAAUACUCUUAGAUCCUGCUGAAUUUCUCCAGGUUUUCGCAAACCUCUUCCUGACACCCUCUGGCAGUAUCGGACACCCUGUGUAUCCUGCCUUAUCACCUCCGUCACCCCUAUUAACACAUCAUCAGCCUCCUAAACUGCACCCAGGCCCAUCUUGCUUCUGUGUGUAGCUCCAGGACAUUGUACAGUAUAUGGCAGCUGACAAAUAAAUUAUAUAAACUUGCCAAUUUUGAGACAUUUUUCCUUCCUCUUGGCCCCCACAAGACGUUUUAUGAUUUUGCAUUAAUUUUUCUCAAAUGAAAAUGAAUCACAUUGCUUUUGUUUCAGGAAUUUCACAUCCACCCACUGAAGCCAUCAGAGAUCUGGGGAAUCCAGAAGAUAAGAAUGAGGGCCAGGGAUUUAGCUCAGUGGUUCCACCACCUGCCUUGCAAGUGCAGGGACCAAGGACCCGAGUUCUAUCCUGGUACCAAAACAAAAACAGAAGAUAAAAAUGAGCUUCCCUGCCCGUCAUCCUUGGAGCCAAGCUGUCUGGAACCACUGUCUGCAAGGGCUUCUCUCCCAUCCCAGCAAGGGUACCCCGCAAUCAGAGCACCUCUGGCCGUGGGCUGCCCGGAUAAACACUGA